GAAAUAAGUAUAACAAAAGGAAGCUUCUAACUUCACUCUUAAGCGAUUUAAACCGUUUUUAUUUCU
rnacentral:tRNA from 1 species